rnacentral:rRNA from 1 species
UGGGGAAUAUUGGGGCAAAUGGGGCGAAAGCCUGACCCAGCAACGCCGCGUGAGGGAAGAAGGCCUUCGGUUGUAAACCUCUGUCCUUAGUGACGAAGGAAGUGACGGUAGCUAAGGAGGAAGCCCCGGCUAACUACGUGCCAGCAGCCGCGGUAAUACGUAGGUGGCAAGCGUUGUCCGGAUUUACUGGGUGUAAAGGGCGUGUAGCCGGGUCGGCAAGUCAGAUGUGAAAUCCACGGGCUUAACUCGUGAACUGCAUUUGAAACUGUUGAUCUUGAGUAUCGGAGAGGCAAUCGGAAUUCCUAGUGUAGCGGUGAAAUGCGUAGAUAUUAGGAGGAACACCAGUGGCGAAGGCGGAUUGCUGGACGACAACUGACGGUGAGGCGCGAAAGCGUGGGGAGCAAACA